rnacentral:rRNA from 1 species
GAUGAACGCUGGCGGCGUGCCUAAUACAUGCAAGUCGAGCGAACUGAUUAGAAGCUUGCUUCUAUGACGUUAGCGGCGGACGGGUGAGUAACACGUGGGCAACCUGCCUGUAAGACUGGGAUAACUUCGGGAAACCGAAGCUAAUACCGGAUAGAAUCUUCUCCCUCAUGGGAGAUGAUUGAAAGAUGGUUUCGGCUAUCACUUACAGAUGGGCCCGCGGUGCAUUAGCUAGUUGGUGAGGUAACGGCUCACCAAGGCAACGAUGCAUAGCCGACCUGAGAGGGUGAUCGGCCACACUGGGACUGAGACACGGCCCAGACUCCUACGGGGGGCAGCAGUAGGGAAUCUUCCGCAAUGGACGAAAGUCUGACGGAGCAACGCCGCGUGAGUGAUGAAGGCUUUCGGGUCGUAAAACUCUGUUGUUAGGGAAGAACAAGUACGAGAGUAACUGCUCGUACCUUGACGGUACCUAACCAGAAAGCCACGGCUAACUACGUGCCAGCCGCCGCCGUAA